AGCUCCUCCUAGAGUCAUGUGACUUUAAGUGUGAACAAUCAACAACCAGCAACAUCUAUCAAUACCAUCAGAGCCAUGGUGGUGAGCCAGGCCCGGGAGCCCUUUGACGUGGUCAGGAGGAAAGAGGUGAAGCGCCGGCUGUGGGAAGAGGUCCAGUACCACAGAGACCACCGGGACGCCCUGGCCAGGAAGUGCCUGUUGAGGCAGGACUUCCUGUCUGAGGUACAGAGGGCCGCCGCAGAGACCCCGGGGCGAGGGCCCCUGCUACUGCUGGGGGCUCCUGGUUCGGGGAAGAGCUGCGUCCUGGCCAGGGCCUCACAGCUACUCUGCACUCGUCUACCUGGAGCCGUGGAGGUCGUGUGUUUCAUCGGCCUCACCGGCGAGAGCAGGAACAUCCGCCUGGUCCUGCAGAGUCUGUGUCUCCAGCUGGCCCAGGCCUACGCUGCCCCUCGCGGCCAGCUCUCUACGGGUCUCCCCCAGCUGAGGGCCGAGUUCCUCUCCCUGCUGGGCCGAGGGUCCGCUGCCAGGCCCCCGGUGCUGCUGCUGGACGGGCUGGACGAGCUGUCGGAGGAGGAGGAGGAGCGCGCUGCGGACCUGUCCUGGCUGGAAGGGCCCCUGCCCCCCCACCCCCCUCCUCCUGUCGGCCG
ensembl:lncRNA